rnacentral:rRNA from 1 species
UUUGGUGACGAUGGCGAAGAGGUCACACCCGUUCCCAUUCCGAACACGGAAGUUAAGCUCUUCAGCGCCGAUGGUAGUUGGGGGUUCUCCCCCUGUGAGAGUAGGACGUCGCCAAGC